GAUCAUGGCUCAGGAUGAACGCUGGCGGCGUGCUUAACACAUGCAAGUCGAACGGGAAACAUUUCAUUGAGGCUUCGGCGGAUUUGGUCUGUUUCUAGUGGCGGACGGGUGAGUAACGCGUGGGUAACCUGCCUUAUACUGGGGGAUAACAGCCAGAAAUGGCUGCUAAUACCGCAUAAGCGCACGGGACCGCAUGGUCCUGUGUGAAAAACUCCGGUGGUAUAAGAUGGACCCGCGUUGGAUUAG
rnacentral:rRNA from 1 species